rnacentral:rRNA from 1 species
UACGGGGGGGGCAAGCGUUUGUUCGGAAUUACUGGGCGUAAAGGGCUCGUAGGCGGCCAACUAAGUCAGACGUGAAAUCCCUCGGCUUAACCGGGGAACUGCAUCUGAUACUGGAUGGCUUGAGUUCGGGAGAGGGAUGCGGAAUUCCAGGUGUAGCGGUGAAAUGCGUAGAUAUUGGGAGGAACACCAGUGGCGAAGGCGGCUCACUGGACCGGUUCUGACGCUGAGGCGCGAAAGCGUGGGGAGCAAACGGG